UACGUAGGGUGCAAGCGUUGCCCGGAUUUAUUGGGCGUAAAGGGCGCGUAGGCGGCUCGACACGUUCGUUGUGAAAUCGCCCGGCUCAACUGGGCGGGGUCAGCGAAUACGGUCGAGCUUGAGCAAGCUAGGGGGCAAUGGAAUUCCCGGUGUAGUGGUGGAAUGCGUAGAUAUCGGGAGGAACACCGGUGGCGAAGGCGGUUCUCUGGGCAUGUCCUGACGCUGAGGAGCGAAAAGUGUGGGGGAGCGAACAGG
rnacentral:rRNA from 1 species